AUGGCUGAAGUCGAGACCUUCCUCUUCACAUCCGAGUCUGUCAAUGAGGGGCACCCUGACAAGCUCUGCGACCAGAUAUCUGAUGCUGUGCUAGAUGCAUGCCUGGCUGAAGACCCUGACAGCAAGGUUGCUUGCGAGACAUGCACCAAGACCAACAUGGUCAUGGUUUUCGGUGAGAUCACUACCAAAGCCAAUGUUGACUAUGAGAAGAUUGUCAGGGAUACUUGCCGUGGCAUCGGUUUUGUGUCCAAUGAUGUAGGGCUUGAUGCUGACCACUGCAAGGUACUUGUCAACAUUGAGCAGCAGUCCCCUGACAUCGCGCAGGGUGUCCAUGGCCACUUUACCAAGCGGCCUGAGGAGAUUGGCGCUGGUGACCAGGGCCAUAUGUUUGGAUAUGCAACUGAUGAGACUCCUGAGUUCAUGCCCCUCAGCCAUGUUCUUGCUACCAAGCUUGGUGCUCGUCUCACCGAGGUCCGCAAGAACGCCACCUGCCCGUGGUUGAGGCCUGAUGGCAAGACCCAGGUGACUGUUGAGUAUCACAAUGACAAUGGUGCUAUGGUCCCUAUACGUGUCCACACUGUGCUCAUCUCCACCCAGCAUGAUGAGACAGUGACCAAUGAUGAGAUUGCUGCUGAUCUGAAGGAGCAUGUGAUUAAGCCUGUUAUCCCAGAGCAGUAUCUUGAUGAGAAUACGAUCUUCCAUCUCAACCCAUCUGGCCGCUUUGUCAUUGGUGGACCUCACGGCGAUGCUGGUCUCACUGGCAGGAAGAUCAUCAUUGACACCUAUGGUGGCUGGGGAGCUCAUGGUGGAGGUGCUUUCUCUGGCAAGGACCCGACCAAGGUUGACCGCAGUGGUGCAUAUGUUGCAAGGCAGGCGGCGAAGAGCAUCGUGGCCAGCGGCAUCGCCCGUCGCUGCAUCGUCCAGGUGUCUUAUGCUAUUGGCGUGCCUGAACCGCUUUCGGUGUUUGUCGACACAUACGGCACUGGCAAGAUCCCUGAUAAGGAGAUCCUUGAGAUUGUCAAGGAGAACUUUGACUUCAGGCCAGGCAUGAUCAUCAUCAACCUUGACCUCAAGAGGGGGGGGAAGGGGCGCUAUCUCAAGACGGCGGCAUACGGGCACUUCGGCAGGGAGGGCGCGGACUUCACCUGGGAGGUGGUGAAGCCCCUCAAGUGGGAGAAGCCUUCUGCCUGA
rnacentral:rRNA from 1 species